rnacentral:rRNA from 1 species
GACAGAGGGGGGCAAGCGCUGCUCGGAAUUAUUGGGCGUAAAGAGCUCGUAGGCGGUGUGUCGCGUCGGCCGUGAAAACCUGGGGCUCAACUCUGGGCGUGCGGUCGAUACGGGCAUCACUGGAGUUCGGCAGGGGGAGACUCGAAUCGAGGUGUGCGGUGAAAUGCGUAGAUAUCUGGAGGAACACCGGUGGCGAAGGCGGCUCACUGGCCCGAUACUGACGCUGAGGUGCGAAAGCGUGGGGAGCAAACAGG